GGAAGUGAAGUAGAGAACAGCCUCUGGAGUUCUCAGGACUUCCUGUGAGGAGGGCUAGAGUUAGUUCGAGGCUUGUACUUGGAGUUGGAGGAGCCCUGUGGACUGCUUUCCUUCAGAUGGGUCAUAUGAGGAAACUGAGGUUGAAAGAGGAAACAUGACUUGCCUAGAGUUUCACAGCUAAUAAGCUUGAGACAAUCUUCAAACUCCACACUUCCUAACUCCCAAGUGUACAUCAUUCCAUUUCGUCACCUUCCUGCCUGCUCAUAUAAUAUAUAUAUUCCUUGGAAACUGAGGCUAUUUCAUUUAAAAUUUUUCUUUGUAUACUGAUGUCCUCCUGAUAUAUGUAUAUGAACACCAUGAUGUCUAAGAGUGGAAAGAAGAGAGUCUGCAGUUUAUUGAGCAGGGAGGCAAUGGCACAGAACCAUCCAUUAUGGUACAACUGCAUCAGAGAAGGAUCUGUGAUCUAUGAACAAAGCAGAAUUCCAUUUGUUCAAAAGAAAUGUGAAAGAUUAUGGCCAGGUUUGAAGGAGGACAUUGAUCUUACUUUUGGGGAGUACGGUAUCUUCCUGUAGUUUUGGCUGCAAAUGGGAUAAUGGAACCAGAGCAAAUGAUGUCAUAUGCUUGAUAUAGAGUUUGGUACAAGGAAGUCCUACAUUUAACACAAGUUAAAUAGCUGCAACCUUGAGUCUCACACAUGAUCAAGUCACUGUGCUUUUUGUGCAGAAUGUCAUCAAUCCCCGUAGGAUUGGUUUGUUUUUUUUUCACCUUUUUGUGCUUGUUUGGCACUUUGCAAGUCAAGUUUUGUGCUCCUUUGUGGUCCAUUUGUCCUUGGAUUAGACAUAGUCAUUGAGAAAAAGUCUCAUAAUAGUUAAAUAACUACUGGUAGGUUGCCAUAAUCCAAAGCUUUUUGGGUAUGUGUUUUAUAUUCUAGGUAAAUAGAUAUCUGAGGUUAUGUUAUUGUCAAAAGUAAAAAUAGUUAAAUAAAAACAUUUUCAAUACUAGUGAUGUGUUUCA
rnacentral:lncRNA from 1 species